rnacentral:rRNA from 1 species
UACGUAGGUGCAAGCGUUGUCCGGAAUUAUUGGGCGUAAAGAGCUCGUAGGCGGUCUGUCGCGUCGGCUGUGAAAUCCCUCGGCUUAACCGGGGAACUGCGUCCGAUACUGGAUGGCUUGAGUUCGGGAGAGGGAUGCGGAAUUCCAGGUGUAGCGGUGAAAUGCGCAGAUAUCAGGAGGAACACCGGUGGCGAAGGCGGGUCUCUGGGCAACAACUGACGCUGAGGAGCGAAAGCGUGGGGAGCGAACAGG